AGGAGCUUCAGACAUACCGCGGAGAGACAAACGCAAGAUGAAGGGGAAGGUGGAGAGAGAGAGGUAAUGAAGGCACCGCCGAGUUUGUUUGGCUCUUCUUCUUCUUCUUCUUCAUUUUUUUUAUCCUCCUCCU
rnacentral:ribozyme from 12 species